ACAUCGAUAUGUUGAACUU
rnacentral:sRNA from 1 species